CCCUUAGAUGUCCUGGGCUGCACGCGCGCUACACUGGAAGUUACGGAUUGAGAUACUACCUUGUCCGAAAUGGUCCGGGUAAUCACCUAAAAGCUUGUCAUAAUUGGAAUGGAUUAUUAUAACUAGUAAUCCUGAACGAGGAAUUCCUAGUAAGUCCCAGUCAACAGCUGGUACUGAUUACGUCCCUGCCCUUUGUACACACCGCCCGUCGCUACUACUGAUUGGACGUUUAAGCAAGAUUUUUAAACACUGACAGUGUGUAGUUCACGCUAUACUACAGUGAGAAGAAGAAGAUCGAGCUUACUUGUCUAGAGGAAGUAAAAGUCGUAACA
rnacentral:rRNA from 1 species